CAGGACCUCCAGAUCCAUGUCUGGACUUCCCUUUCUCUCUUGGUCGAAUUUUGGACCCUCAACUUGGCACGUCGCACAAUAGUGAACUUCCAUCCCGUACCUGUCUCAGCCAUCACCGAUGUCUUAGAAGAGAACAAGACUACAUUCUUUGUGUUAUGAGAUCAAUCAACCCAGUGUUUCAAAGGACACCAAGCUCUCCUCCAACACCAAGCAGUGGGGUGAACGUUCUCCUGCUUCCAUGCCACACAUGCCACCUGCCACCCUCAGGAGCAGAGGAGACCAUGAAUCUGAAACAUCCUGACAUCUCCCAGCGUUGUCCCCACUGCGCUCACCACCGUUGUUCUUGUUAGACCGGCGCACAAGGGUGGACAGUGUCUCCUCUCAAAGGCAUGUCCUUCCUGGAACCUCAGAAUAUGGCGCCUGGGUGGCUCAGUUGGCUCCAGGGACCCGUGGGACUGCGUGGUGGGCUCUAAGAAGCAUUCACCAGGAAGGACGGCUCGGGGAUUCAUCGGGCAGAGGGCAGAGCAUGGGCAACGGCUCAGAGGAUGUCCUGAGCAGGAGCAGGUGUUCUGAGGAGAGAUGAGGCCAGAGGACACUUCUGGAAGGCUUCACGAGCAUGCUAUGUAAGCUUUCCUGCGGGCCGGCAUUUCCCAAAAUACGCAGCCAGAGUCCCACGAGAUGCUUUGAAAUAAACAAUCCUGUGGCAUAA